AGGUAAAAGGAGCAUGGCCUCUGUGAAACAGCAAACAGAGCGGGAACGCGUUGCGUGCACCUCACAUUCUCUCUUCCUCUACAUAAGAGCCCUUUCUCCCUCUUCUUUGCACAUUCAACAACCAUUCACUUCUCUCACUCACACUUCUCGUCCCUCUUUAUUCCUUUUCUAGAUCCAAGCUUCUCAUUCACUUGUCGAUAUGGCUCCCCCUAUUGAGACCCCAAACAAGGUUACCAUCUCUCAUCAUUCACGACACCCUCCUCUUAAUGAGAGGAUUCUUUCAUCCUUGACCAGAAGAUCUGUUGCUGCACACCCGUGGCAUGAUCUUGAGAUUGGACCUGAAGCUCCAAUUAUCUUCAACUGUAAAUCUUCUUCUCUCUGUCUUGACGGCAAGGGAACAUCUUGCAGUGAAGGUUCAAAAGGUGGUUGAAAUUGGGAAAGGAAGCAAGGUGAAGUAUGAACUGGACAAAAAAACUGGACUUAUUAAGGUUGAUCGGAUACUUUACUCGUCAGUUGUGUAUCCUCACAACUAUGGGUUUAUCCCACGCACUAUUUGUGAAGACAGUGACCCCAUGGAUGUCUUGGUUAUCAUGCAGGAGCCAGUUCUUCCAGGUUGCUUUCUACGGGCCAAAGCUAUUGGACUCAUGCCUAUGAUUGAUCAGGGUGAGAAAGAUGACAAGAUAAUUGCUGUGUGUGCUGAUGAUCCCGAGUAUCGGCAUUACAAUGAUAUCAAGGAGCUUCCUCCACACCGUUUAGCUGAAAUUCGUCGUUUUUUUGAAGAUUGUAUCCUUUUAAAAAUUUCAAAUUCUGUUUAUUCAUACCUUCUAUAUGUUAGCAUCUACACAACAGUUAACUACAUAGUAUCUUUUAGUGCAACACAUAAAUCAAAUUACUUUUAUGUUUUCCUUCAUAAAGAAAUUUAGACAAGAAGAAUGAGAACAAAGAAGUUGCAGUGAACGAUUUUCUUCCUGCCUCAACUGCCUAUGAAGCGAUCAAGCAUUCCAUGAGCUUGUAUGCGGACUACAUUGUAGAGAGCUUGAGGCGGUAGUGUCGAUGCUUGGGAUUUUGUUUGGUCGUGAAGACGUAUUGAAAGGCUGCUAUUUUAUUGUUGUGAUUAUGCCGAAAAACAAAAGCUUUCUAUCCUAUCCAGUCGCAUGAACAUUUUGGUCUCAGGGCUGACAGCAUGCGUAUUCUACACAUAUAUGUACUUAUUUUUGAGUGAA